UGGGCGCCAUUUUCGAGUGUGGAAGCCGCCGAGCCGCGGCAGGAGCCGGAGCCGCCCGCGCUGCCACAGCCUGCAGCCUCGCUGGGGCCGGGCGCCGCCGGUCCUCGAAGCAAAGGAGAUAGAUCCCUUCAGUAGUCUGAUUGCUUGGAAUGGAACAGCCAACAGAGAUCAUGCCAAGCAAGAGCACCAAAGCCUCUACAGCAGCCCAUGGGAAAGGCAGAGAGCCCUUAGAGGAGUCCACCAGUGAUAUGGAAGUGGAAAACGAAGGCAACAGAAAGCUUGGCGAAGUACCUCCACAAGCAGUCUCAAGCGAGGUGGUUGAUAAUCAAACUUUAGAAGAGAUUUUGGGUAGCAUCUCUCCUCCCCCACCUCCAGUAGUGACCAAUGAAGCUGGCGCUCCUCGUCUUAUGAUAACUCAUAUUGUAAACCAGAACUUCAAAUCUUACGCAGGGGAGCAAACUUUGGGACCUUUUCAUAAGCGUUUUUCAUGUAUUAUUGGGCCAAAUGGUAGUGGAAAAUCCAAUAUCAUUGAUUCGAUGCUUUUUGUGUUUGGGUAUCGAGCACAAAAAAUCAGAUCCAAAAAACUCUCUGUGCUGAUCCAUAAUUCUGAUGAACAUACAGAUAUCCAGAGUUGUUCUGUGGAAAUCCACUUCCAAAAGAUCAUUGACAAGGAAGGAGAUGAUUAUGAAGUCAUUCCUAACAGCAAAUUUUGUGUAUCUAGAACUGCCUAUAGAGAUAAUUCUUCAGUCUACCACAUCAAUGGAAAGAAAGCGACCUUCAAAGAUGUUGGUAUUCUUCUUCGAAGCCAUGGAAUUGAUCUGGACCAUAACAGAUUCUUAAUUUUACAGGGGGAAGUUGAACAAAUCGCUAUGAUGAAACCGAAAGGCCAGACUGAACAUGAUGAAGGCAUGCUUGAAUAUUUAGAAGACUUAAUAGGAUCUGCACGACUAAAAGAACCUAUCCAAGUUCUGUGUCGCAGAAUAGAGAUUUUAAAUGAACGGAGAGGGGAAAAGUUAAACAGAGUUAAAAUGGUGGAAAAAGAAAAGGAUGCCUUGGAAGCAGACAGGAAUAAAGCCAUUGAAUUUCUUUGUUUGGAAAACAAAAUGUUUAAAGAAAAGAAUCGGAUCUGUCAAUACUAUAUUCAUGACCUAAAGAAACGAUUAAACGAUAUGGAAAUGCAGAAAGAAAAAAUUAAUGAAGAAACAAAAGAUGUUAAUGAGAAGAGCAAGAAACUUGGAGACGAAAUGAAAGCCAAGAGUAAAAGUUUGAAAGAACUUGAAAAGAAACGUGGUAAAAUAACAAAGUUUAUCGAGGAAAAAAAAGAAGAAUUUACUAAGUUGGAUUUGCAGGAUGUUAAAGUAAGGGAAAAUUUAAAACAUGCCAAGAGCAAGACUAAAAAAUUGGAGAAGCAAAUUCAGAAGGACAAAGAAAAGGUAUUAGAAUUGAAAAAAGUGCCUGCCGAUAGUGAAAAAUCUAUCACCGAAACAACGUCUAAGAAAGAGCUUCUUGAAAAGACAAAAGAGGAAGAAGAAUUAAAACUCAAGCAGGUUAUAGAUAGCCUUAAGCAAGAAACACAAGGACUUCAGACAGAAAAAGAGAGCAAAGAGGAGGAGCUUAUGGAGUUUAUUAAAACAGUGAAUGAAGCUCGUUCAAAGAGGGAUGUUGCCCAGUCAGAGCUUGAGAUCUAUCUUGCCCGUCAUAAUACUGCUGUGUCUCAGUUAAAUCAGGCAAAGGAGGCUCUGAAGACUGUUUCAGAAACUCUUAAGGAAAGGAAGGCUGCUAUCAAAGAGAUAAGUGUAAAAUUACCCCAAGCUGAACAGGAGUUGAAGAAGAAAGAAAAUGAGCUUGAGAAACUAAGAAGAGAAGAAGAAAGUGCCAAGAAUCUUGUUCGAAACCUGCGUCAUAAAGUAGAAGAAGCCAAAAGUUCUUUAGCAAUGAGUCGCAAUCGAGGAAGAGUGCUUGAGGCUCUGCUUCAGCAGAAGAAAAGUGGAAAUAUUCCUGGACUAUAUGGAAGACUGGGAGACUUGGGAGCUAUCGAUGAGAAAUAUGAUAUUGCUAUUUCAUCAUCUUGUGGUGCCUUAGACAACAUUGUUGUCGAUACAAUUGAUACUGCACAGGCAUGUGUGAAUUUCUUGAAGACAGAAGGAAUCGGAGUUGCCACGUUUAUAGCCAUGGACAAAAUGGCUGUGUGGGAAAAAAAUCUUCAGAAAAUCCCCACUCCAGAGAAUGUUCCUCGGUUGUUUGAUCUGGUGAAAGCAAACGACGAGAAGUUUCGCCUGGCUUUUUACUUCGCAUUACGUGAUACUUUAGUAGCUAAUAACUUGGAAGAUGCUUCCAGAAUAGCAUUUCAAAAAGAUAAAAGAUGGAGGGUGGUAACGCUUCAAGGACAAGUCAUUGAACAGUCAGGAACAAUGACUGGUGGUGGGGGUAAAGUAAUGAAGGGCAGAAUGGGUUCUUUAGUCGUAAUGGAUGUUUCAGAAGAAGAGGUCAAUAAAAUGGAAUGUCAACUGCAGAAGGAUUCUAAAAGAGCAGUACAGUAUGAAGAAGAGAAAUCACUACUUGAAGAAGCUAUAAGCAAACUGCAACGAGAUGUUCGGGAAAUGAAAAAUAAUUUAGAAAAGUAUUCAGCAAGUAUCAAGAAUUUACCUGAACAAGAAAUUCAUCUGAAAACCCGCAUUAAGGAACUUGAAGCCAAUGUAAUUGCUACUGCUCCAGACAAAACCAAACAGAACGAAUUGGAAAAAGUCCUUAAUGGUUAUAAAAAAGAUUAUGACUGUGCUGCUGCAAAAGCUGGUGAAAUAGAAAGUGAAGUUAAACGACUACAUAACCUCAUAAUUGAUACCAAUAAUCAGAAACUUAAACCACAUCAAGACAAACUUAACAAGAUCAACAAAGAAAUAGACGAAUGUUUUUCAACUAUUACUAAAGCCCAGGUGGCAAUCAAGACUGCGGAUAGAAACGUGAAAAAAUCUCAAGAUGCUCUUCUUCACACGGAGAAGGAAUUGGAAGACAAUGAGAAAGAAAUUAAAGACUUAAUGAAAGAACUGACUGAACUGGAAGCCAAAGCUGCUGAGGUUAUGAAUGACUGCAGGCAAGCCGAAGAAGCGUUGCCAGGAAUUCAACAGGAGCAUCAUGAUUUACUCCAGGAGAUAAAAAUCAUUCAGGAUGAGGAACAUGCACUUCAAAAGGAAGCUCUUAAUAUUAAGCUGAAAAUGGAACAAAUUGACAGUCAUAUUUCUGCACACCAGUCAAAGAUGAAAUACUGGCAAAAAGAGAUGUCAAAAUUAUCACUGCACCCCAUAGAAGAUAAACAACCUGAAGAACUUCCAGUACUAAGUCAAGAAGAGCUGGAGGCUCUCAAGGAUCCCAAUGUUAUCACUAAUCAAAUAGCUCUCCUGGAAGCCCAGUGUAAUGAAAUGAAACCCAACCUUGGUGCUAUUGCAGAAUACAAGAAGAAGGAAGAGCUGUACUUGAAACAUGUGGCUGAACUGGAUGACGUUACCAAUGAGAGAGACAACUUCAGGCAAGCUUUUGAAGAUCUCCGGAAACAAAGGCUAAAUGAGUUUAUGGCAGGAUUUAAUGUAAUAACAAAUAAACUGAAGGAGAACUACCAGAUGCUUACACUGGGAGGGGAUGCCGAGUUAGAACUUGUGGACAGUCUGGAUCCCUUCUCUGAGGGAAUCAUGUUUAGCGUUCGGCCUCCCAAGAAAAGUUGGAAGAAGAUAUUUAACUUAUCGGGAGGCGAGAAGACCCUUAGUUCACUGGCUUUAGUUUUUGCUCUCCAUCAUUACAAACCAACGCCACUUUAUUUUAUGGACGAAAUUGAUGCAGCACUUGACUUCAAAAAUGUGUCUAUUGUAGCGUUUUACAUAUAUGAGCAAACCAAAAAUGCACAGUUCAUUGUCAUCUCCCUGCGGAACAACAUGUUUGAGAUUGCGGACAGGUUAAUUGGAAUUUAUAAGACUCACAAUACGACAAAAAGCGUGGCAACAAACCCCAAAGUUAUUGCAGCUAAAGGACUGGAUGAACUCAAGGCUAUUGGGUGCGGUAUAGCUCAACCAUAGAGUAGAGUGCACUUACAUUCUCAUUGCUGCUGUUUCAUGUAUUAUACACUUUUUGAGAUUAUUUUUCUUUUGUGUUUGAGCUUUUUAAUCAAACCAGCCUCAAUAAACUUAAUUUUUUUUUAAUUAUACAUAGACUUUAUAUCUUAAUUUUAUGAACUGAAUAAAAGAGAAAAUCUAUUCCCUAAAUUAUGUAUUUAGCUGUAUCUUAAUACUCCAGGUAUAGGCUUUACGUCAAUGCUUGGGUUCCACAUUUGGUUUUAAAUGCCUUUUUUUGCUGUGUUUAUUAAAGUAAGGAAAUUGCUUUCAAAUGUCAUCAAUGUCCUGUAACAUUGUAUGGUACGAGUUCCAGCAAGUCAGGUCGGUAUAUGUAUCAUUUACAUGUGUAUAAUGUCCUAUGUCCUGCUGCACGGUUUAGGGAACAGCCAAUUUGGUAGCCAUUUUGUAGUGACUUGGUUCAGUUUAGGAAGCUGCUCUUCUGUUACUUUCCUCUCCCCUUCCGCAGGCCACAGCAUGCACUUGGGGUUGUUCAGUACAGGAAGGGUGUGGGGUUUUGGUUUUUGUUUGUUUGUUUUUGUUUUGGUAGGGGGGUUUUUUUGUACUUUUAGAACUGAAAUUGCGUGUUUUACUCCAAAACCCAGGCCAGCGUGGCACACUUGCACUGGAACUGCUCCCUGAAGUAGGAGUGUAUCUGUCACAUGUUGGCACGCUUCCUGAGGCAGGGAAUUAUGCAGAACUGACCCAACCCCAGGGAUGGGACAGGCUCAGCCCAGCACCAGAGGCCCCGUCAACAGGGAGCAGAUCUGGAACAGUGUUCAGAAACUGCAGCAACAGUCACACACAUGACAUUGGAUGAGAAAAAUGGGACCACAUCUCUUCUGCAGCCCCCCUCCAGCUGUGCAGUUUUGGCUUUCCUGUCUCAGGAUGAAGCCAGAAAGUGUUGCAGUGCAGCUUCAGGAUCAGCAGAUGGGCAGGACCAGCCAAGAACAAAAAUGUAUGGAUCAAGAAGCAGCCCUUUUAAAGUGCAGCAGCAGAGUAAUGACCUAGCUCAAGAAGCAGAAAGAAACCCCACCCCAGGUUUGAAGGGCACAAACCCCUCAAUUAAAAUGCAGUUAAAAGGUUUGAUUUUCUUGAUAAAGUUUGUUUCUCUCUCUCAAACUCAGCAUGGAGGACAGAACAGAGCAGGGCUUAGCUGUGCAAUGCUUAGCAGACUGGGCUAAGAGGAAAAGGAGUCACUGCACCAGCACUUGCCACCUGCUGACAAAGCCAGGUGAAGUGGGCCUGUGGUGGGCAGGGUGCAUGACUCUGCAAUCCACAGUGGGACGCGUAGACUGGGGACUCGCUGCCAAAAAUAAAAAGGGUCACUUGGAGACAGUGUUGCUGCACAUUCCUGUGUAGGCAAGACUGGCUCCUCUGCCUUCGCUCACUGGGUCAGUGCUCUUCAGGAUCAGAGGGAAGGAAAUGGAGGUGUUAGCCAAGCCUACUGUAAGAAUACGUUUUAUUUGUAUGCAAAUUUAUUAAAAGUACUAGAAGUACUAAAUGUUUAAACCAGUGGUAAAGACAUUUUAUAAAUUCCUGUAGUCUUGAAAAAUAAAAUUGCAUUAUAAACUCUUUAGUUUUUAAAAGUUAGGAAAAUAAGAGACAGGAAGGCAAG